rnacentral:rRNA from 1 species
GGUCAAGCUAUUUAGAGCCCACGGUGGAUGCCUUGGCGCCAAGGGCCGAAGAAGGGCGCGGCAAGACUGCGAAAAGCCUCGGUGAGCCGUCUAGCAGGCUGAGCCGAGGGUACCCGAAUCGGGAAACCGGCCUGGGUAAAACCCGGGCGCUGGUGGCUGAACACAUAGGCCACCUUGUGGUAAGCGGGGGAACCGAAACAUCCUAGUACCCCGAGGAAAAGAAAUCAACCGAGAUUCCCCUAGUAGCGGCGAGCGAACGGGGAAGAGCCCAAACCUGGAAGGCUGAGUGGCCUGGGGGCCUAUGCCUACCGGGUGUUGUACGGCAGGCCAGCGGAGGCCCCAGUCUCCGCACGGAGUCACAAACCCUCUCGCCAGGCGAAGGCACCUGGAAGGGACCGCCAUAGAGGGUGAUAGCCCCGUAGUCGAAAGCGAGAGGGCUCCGGGCCAUGUCCGUGAGUACCGCGGGACACGUGGAACCCCGCGGGAAGCUGGGGGGACCCCCCUCCAAGGCUAAAUACCCUUGGCGACCGAUAGUGAACCAGUACCGUGAGGGAAAGGUGAAAAGAACCCCGGGAGGGGAGUGAAAUAGACCUGAAACCGUGGGCUUACAGACUGUCGGAGCCCCGAUGCAAGUCGGGGUGACGGCGUGCCUAUUGAAGAAUGAGCCGGCGAGUUACUUCUGCGCGGCGAGGUUAAGGGAUGUAGAAGUCCCGGAGCCGUAGCGAAAGCGAGUCCGAACAGGGCGACUAGUCGCGCGGAGUAGACCCGAAACCGUGUGAGCUACCCAUGGCCAGGGUGAAGCCCCGAUAACAUCGGGGUGGAGGCCCGAACCCUCUGCUGGGACAAAAGCAUGGGAUGAGCUGUGGGUAGAGGUGAAAUGCCAACCGAACACGGAAAUAGCUGGUUCUCCCCGAAAUGCAUUUGGGUGCAGCCUCCAGGUAGAGGAGCGGAGGUAGGGCUCUGACUGGACUAGGGGGCGUGAGCCUACCAAACCCAAUCAAACCGCAAAUGCCGCUUCUUCAUUCCUGGGGAGUGUGACUGUGGGGGAUAAGCUUCAUGGUCGAGAGGGAAACAGCCCAGACCACCGGCUAAGGCCCCUAAGUGCAGGCUUAGUGUCAAAGGAAGUAGGGUCGCACAGACAGCCAGGAGGUUGGCUUAGAAGCAGCCAUCCUUCAAAGAGUGCGUAACAGCUCACUGGUCGAGGGACCCUGCGCCGACAAUUUACCGGGGCUCAAGCCUGCCGCCGAAGCCGUGGUCCUUCCCCGUUAAGGGGAGGGAGGUAGGGGAGCGUUCCCUGGGCAGCGAAGCUGGACUGUAAGGUCUGGUGGAGCCCAGGGAAGUGAGAAUGCCGGCAUGAGUAGCGUAAAGAUGGGUGAAAACCCCAUCCGCCGCAAGCCUGAGGUUUCCUACGCAACGUCGAUCGACGUAGGGUUAGGCGGGCCUAAGCCGAGGCCGAAAGGCGUAGGCGAUGGAGAGCCGGUCAACAUUCCGGCGCCGCCCGCGUUUCGCUUAAAGCCAAGGGGGGACACAGGAAGCUAGGCAGAGCGUGCCCAUUGGACAUGGUGCGUCCGAUCCUGUAGGCCAUGCCGGGAUAGGCAAAUCCGUUCCGGCGUUACGAGCUGAGGGGUGAGGCAACUCUAGGGUACGCCCUGGGGAAGUCUGCUGAAGCUACACCGGCUAGAAAAGCCUCGUGGCUAUGGAGCGCGGGUGUCCGUACCGCAAACCGACACUGGUAGGCUGGGGUAAGCGCCCCAAGGCGGACGAGAGAACCCUCCUCAAGGAACUAGGCAAUUUGACCCCGUAACUUCGGGAGAAGGGGUGCCCCGGGUGGUGAAGGAGCUUGCCUCCGGAGCCUCCUGGGGUCGCAGCAAAGAGGCCCUGGCGACUGUUUAACAAAAACACAGGUCUCUGCUUAAGCCGAAAGGCGAAGUAUAGGGGCCGACGCCUGCCCAGUGCCGGAAGGUUAAGGGGAGGGGUGAUGAGCUCCGAACCGAAGCCCCGGUGAACGGCGGCCGUAACUAUAACGGUCCUAAGGUACCGAAGCCCCUUGUCGGGUAAGUUCCGACCCGCAGGAAUGGCGGAACGACUGGGGCAGUGUCUCGAGGAGGGACUCGGCGAAUUUGAAGGGCCAGUGAAGAUGCUGGUGACCCGCAGCAGGACAAAAAGACCCCGUGGAGCUUUACUGUACCCUGGCAUUGGACCGGGGGCAGGGAUGUGUAGGAUAGGUGGGAGGCUAUGAAGUCCCGACGCCAGUCGGGAUGGAGCCAUCGUUGAAAUACCACUCUUCUCUGUUUCUGGCCCUAACCCCUGAGCAAGCAGGGGGACUGUGCCAGGCGGGCAGUUUGACUGGGGCGGUCGCCUCCCAAAAGGUAACGGAGGCGUCCAAAGGUCCCCUCAGGGUGGAUGGAAAUCACCCGUGGAGUGCAUUGGCAUAAGGGGGCUUGACUGCGAGGCCAACAAGCCGAGCAGGGACGAAAGU